rnacentral:lncRNA from 10 species
AUGCAACUGUAUGUCUAGGCUAUUGACCAAAAUGUGAUGUGCUCUCCAGUUCUGAAAGUAGAUUAAAACUGCACGGGAGGCUCCAAAAAGAAAGCAAUGACCGUAUAAUUGCAAAUGCUCCUGAAAAGAGAAAAGGUGAGAAUGGCUGUAGACAGCAAAUCUGCUAUGCAGGCUGUGUACCUGGGUGGUACAAAUCUGCUAUGUAGCUGGUUGAGCCCAGGAACAGUAACUUGAGGCCUUCCUUAUACAGAUUCACACCUGCCUGCCCAGUCCUGGACAAGGAAGGGCUACAUCAGAAAUCCAAUCCCACCAGUGAUGAGGGUCUAAAAUCAAUCUUGCUCCUCCAAGUCAAAGACGUCCACAUCCUAAUCCCUGGAACCUGUAAUAUGUUACCUUAUGUAACAAAGCAACUUUGCAGGUGUGAUUAGAUUAAGGACCCAUAGGUAGGAGAGUUCAGCCUGGAUUAUCCAGGUGGGCUCUGUCUAAUGACAUGGGUCCUUAAAAGCAGAGACCCUUUUCUGGUUGUGGUGAGAGACAGAGAGAAUACAGAAGACAGGUGAGAGACAUGCAACAUCACUGGCUUUGAAAAUGGGGAAAUUAUAACAGACAAAAGGAGGCUGAACAUGAGUGGCUCCAUUCUGCUCCCCGCACCCUGCCCCCUGCCCAUGGUGACAUCUUGUAGGUUAACGGCCUCUGCCUAUCUCUGCACGUAGGCCAAGCUAACUAUGGAAGGAAUUUUGUUUAUAGUUUAAUUUUAAAGCAAGGAUGAUAAUAGUCCCUUCCUGAAACUAAGCCCUGAGGAAAUAAAGAGAGUGUACACACAAGUAACAAAGUUAUGUUAAAGGUGAUAUGAGCAUUGUGACCUGAGCAAGGAAGCUUCAUACGCCCCACUUCAGACCCAGGCAUGUGGUCAUGGGUCACCUCUUGACCUCGACCCCCUCCCUCUUCUCCUUCCUCCUAACAUAAACAACCACACUUUGAGAUAUAGGUAGAGAAACUGGAUAAUGUUCCCAUGAGAGCAACCAGGAUGGUCAAGAGGAAUGGAUAAAGGAUCCAGGGAUAUUUUCCUAGAGGUGAAAAGAUACAAGGAUGGGGGAGGUGGUGAGAAGACAUGCAGACCACUCUGACAAGUGUUCUCCACUGAUGAGUUUUCAUGAGAAAGAAGAAUUAAGACUUCUUUGCACGAGUCUCUAGGAUGGAGGUACAGACUUCAGUUCACUACUUAUUCAAAAACAAUCCUGAUAAAAAAUUGUCAAUAGAAGGGAACUAUCAAAACCACUUAUGAGGCUUUUCACAAACUAUAAUCCCCCAUUCUCCAGGAAGAUCAUUGCAUUUCAGAAUUCUAUUAUAUACUGAGCUGAAAUUGGUUUGCCAUGGUGGGGGGAAGCUCAUGACAAAUAAACGUGUAUUCAAGAAUUAGAGAAAGGUUUGAGAACCACUACUGUAAUAGUCUCAGAAGCCCAAGAUGGAAUUCUGUGAACAUUCAUGGAGGUCCUACCAUGACUCGGGCACUGCUCCAGAUGUUAAAAAUAUGGGGAUAUGUAAAACAGAUGAAGGACCUGUCCUCAGGGAGUUAUCUUCUAUUGAGAGAAACUGCAAACAAGUACAUUAAUCUGAUCAGGUUAUGCCAUUUUAUAUAGGAUUGCCAGGGAGAGACUAUGCCCAGAGGGGAUUAUUUUGAAAAAUACCAAAACCCCCAUCACAGAAGUAUUCUACUGGGUAACAAUGUGGUCAAAUAUAAUCAAACAACAGCUAAGCAGUAGAGCUGAGGACGUUGGAGGUUUCUUUAUAAAGUAUGUCUCAAAAUUUUAAGAGCAAAAAAGCAUGGGCUUUAGACUCUGGAAGUAAGCUGGGUGCGGUAGUGUGCACCUGUAAUCCCAGCUACUUGGGAGGCUGAGGCUGGAUUGCUUGAGUCCAGGAGUCUGAGACCAGCCUGGGUAACAUAACCAGACCCUGUUUCUUAAAAAAAAAAAAAAAAACAAUCAUUAAAAAGUCAGGAAACAACAGGUGCUGGAGAGGAGGUGGAGAAAUAGGAACACUUUUACACUGUUGGUGGGACUGUAAACUAGUUCAACCAUUGUGGAAGUCAGUGUGGCGAUUCCUCAGGGAUCUGGAACUGGAAAUACCAUUUGACCCAGCCAUCCCAUUACUGGGUAUAUACCCAAAGGACUAUAAAUCAUGCUGCUAUAAAGACACAUGCACACGUAUGUUUAUUGCGGCAUUAUUCACAAUAGCAAAGACUUGGAACCAACCCAAAUGUCCAACAAUGAUAGACUGGAUUAAGAAAAUGUGGCACAUAUACACCAUGGAAUACUAUGCAGCCAUAAAAAAUGAUGAGUUCAUGUCCUUUGUAGGGACAUGGAUGAAAUUGGAAAUCAUCAUUCUCAGUAAACUAUCGCAAGAACAAAAAACCAAACACCACAUAUUCUCACUCAUAGGUGGGAACUGAACAAU